AAUGGAGUGAGAAAUAAACAAUAAGAGGUGUGCUACUAUUUUGUUGGUUUUAGAGACCGCCGUAAUGAUUAAUAGGGACAGUCGGGGGCAUCAGUAUUCAAUUGUCAGAGGUGAAAUUCUUGGAUCUAUUGAAGACUAACUACUGCGAAAGCAUUUGCCAAGGAUGUUUUCAUUGAUAAGGAACGAAAGUUAGGGGAUCGAAGACGAUCAGAUACCGUCGUAGUCUUAACUAUAAACUAUGCCGACUAGGGAUCGGACGAUGUUAUUCUUUGACGCGUUCGGCACCUUUCGAGAAAUCAAAGUGCUUGGGCUCCAGGGGGAGUAU
rnacentral:rRNA from 1 species